rnacentral:rRNA from 1 species
CUUGGAGGUUGUGCCCUUGAGGCGUGGCUUCCGGAGCUAACGCGUUAAGUCGACCGCCUGGGGAGUACGGCCGCAAGGUUAAAACUCAAAUGAAUUGACGGGGGCCCGCACAAGCGGUGGAGCAUGUGGUUUAAUUCGAUGCAACGCGAAGAACCUUACCUGGUCUUGACAUCCACGGAAGUUUUCAGAGAUGAGAAUGUGCCUUCGGGAACCGUGAGACAGGUGCUGCAUGGCUGUCGUCAGCUCGUGUUGUGAAAUGUUGGGUUAAGUCCCGCAACGAGCGCAACCCUUAUCCUUUGUUGCCAGCGGUCCGGCCGGGAACUCAAAGGAGACUGCCAGUGAUAAACUGGAGGAAGGUGGGGAUGACGUCAAGUCAUCAUGGCCCUUACGACCAGGGCUACACACGUGCUACAAUGGCGCAUACAAAGAGAAGCGACCUCGCGAGAGCAAGCGGACCUCAUAAAGUGCGUCGUAGUCCGGAUUGGAGUCUGCAACUCGACUCCAUGAAGUCGGAAUCGCUAGUAAUCGUGGAUCAGAAUGCCACGGUGAAUACGUUCCCGGGCCUUGUACACACCGCCCGUCACACCAUGGGAGUGGGUUGCAAAAGAAGUAGGUAGCUUAACCUUCGGGAGGGCGCUUACCACUUUGUGAUUCAUGACUGGGGUGAAGUCGUAACAAGGUAACCGUAGGGGAACCUGCGGUUGGAUCACCUCCUUACCUUAAAGAAGC